GAUGAACGCUAGCUACAGGCUUAACACAUGCAAGUCGAGGGGAAACGAUAUUGGAAGCUUGCUUCCGAUAGGCGUCGACCGGCGCACGGGUGAGUAACGCGUAUCCAACCUGCCCACCACUUGGGGAUAACCUUGCGAAAGUAAGACUAAUACCCAAUGAUAUCUCUAGAAGACAUCUGAAAGAGAUUAAAGAUUUAUCGGUGAUGGAUGGGGAUGCGUCUGAUUAGCUUGUUGGCGGGGUAACGGCCCACCAAGGCGACGAUCAGUAGGGGUUCUGAGAGGAAGGUCCCCCACAUUGGAACUGAGACACGGUCCAAACUCCUACGGGAGGCAGCAGUGAGGAAUAUUGGUCAAUGGACGAGAGUCUGAACCAGCCAAGUAGCGUGCAGGAUGACGGCCCUAUGGGUUGUAAACUGCUUUUAUAAGGGAAUAAAAAUACGGGACGUGUCCUGUUUUGCAUGUACCUUAUGAAUAAGGAACCGGCUAAUUCCGUG
rnacentral:rRNA from 1 species